GAUGAACGCUGGCGGCGUGCUUAACACAUGCAAGUCGAACGAAGCACUUUAUUUGAUUUCCUACGGGACUGAUUAUUUUGUGACUGAGUGGCGGACGGGUGAGUAACGCGUGGGUAACCUGCCUUGUACAGGGGGAUAACAGUGGGAAACGGCUGCUAAUACCGCAUAAGCGCACAGCAUCGCAUGAUGCAGUGUGAAAAACUCCGGUGGUAUAGGAUGUACCCGCGUUGGGUUAGCUAGUUGGUGAGGUAACGGCCCACCAAGGCGACGAUCCAUAGCCGCCCUGGGAGGGUGCCCGGCCACAUUGGGACUGAGACCCGGCCCAAACUCCUACGGGAGGCAGCAGUGGGGAAUAUUGCACAAUGGGCGAAAGCCUGAUGCAGCGACGCCGCGUGAGCGAAGAAGUAUUCCGGUAUGUAAAGCUCUAUCACCAGGGAAGAUAAUGACGGUACCUGAAUAAGAAGCACCGGCUAACUACGUG
rnacentral:rRNA from 1 species